ensembl:lncRNA
GGGAACAGGGCCUCGGGGGAGUGAAGGAAGGAUGGAGCGGAUUGGAACAGGGCCUCGGGGGAAGUGACGGUAGGAUGGAGCGGAUUGGAACAGGGCCUCGGGGUGAGUGACGGUAGGAUGGAGCGGAUUGGAACAGGGCCUCGGGGGGAGUGACGGUAGGAUGGAGCGGAUUGGAACAGGGCCUUACACUGAGUUUCCUCUUGGGGGCUUUCUGUUUGGCGGUCGCUCCCCUACGAUGAGUCACAAACUUCCCUGGAGCCAAAACUGGAGACGG